UACAGGGGGUGCAAACGUUGCUCGGAAUCAUUGGGCGUAAAGCGCACGUAGGCGGUUCGUUAUGUCGGAUGUGAAAGCCCUUGGCUUAACCGAGGAAGUGCAUCCGAAACUGGCGAGCUAGAGUACGAAAGAGGAUCGCGGAAUUCCCGGUGUAGAGGUGAAAUUCGUAGAUAUCGGGAGGAACACCGGUGGCGAAGGCGGUGGCCUGGACCUAUGCUGACGCUGAGGCGCGAAAGCGUGGGGAGCGAUCCGG
rnacentral:rRNA from 1 species